GCAGAGAAUUUUCUAAGAGUGAAGUCACAUCUUAUUUUAUAUAAUGUUAAAUGAGAAAUUUGGGUACAUUGCUGAUAUAUUAAAGUUAUUUAUUACACCGAUAGAAACACAUACAUUCUACAUCAGAACUCUGGGCAACAAUGCACUCUGCGGAGAUCAACUUGGUUUUGAACUUAUAUUCACAGAAGAAUGCACACUCAUUGAAGUCACAAUCACUUCUUUGCACCACCUGCUCACAUAACCAUUUUUUAAAUCCAACCACUUCCCUGGUCACUGAAACAGCUGAAAAUAACAACACCAUUGCUAGGGUUAGCAAAGAACAACCACAUGCAUACAGAACAAACACAAUUUAAAUAACAUGCAUUCACAAUCUAUAUAUUCUUUCUCAUUCAACACAUACAUCAUGUACAAUAUUUUAUUUUUAUAUAUAUGAUAACUACUUUUAUAAUAGGAUCUAAAAUUUGAUUAUAAAAAAAAAAUAAAUUUAAUUUAUAAUAUAUAAACGAAAAACAUAUUUAACCUAAUGAUAGAUUUUUCACUGUUGUUAAAUAAGAGGAUUUGCAAACCUGAAAUGAUAAGGAAUAAGGCAAAAAAUUGUGUUGAAGACAUAUUCGCCACCAUCUCCAAUGACUACAAC
rnacentral:lncRNA from 1 species